rnacentral:tRNA from 1 species
UCCCGUGUGGCUCAGUUGGUAGAGCAUGGUGUUUGCAAUGCCAGGGUUGUGAGUUCGAUUCCCACGGGGG